GUGCGAGGGAUGUUUGGGGCAGACCCAAGCAAGCAGUGCACCCACCUCUCUCCUUACCUCCUCGAUGUCCAGGCUGACUGUAGUCGCUUACUCUCAAGCUUUGGUUCUGAAGAACGAGACCUCCUUUGGCCUCUUCUCCAGAGCAGCCUCACCGUGGAGGCCUGACCUCCCCUGUGAACAGCCCCUUAUGGACAUCACAGAGACUUCUUGGUUCUCACUGUGGAAGCUGAGCUCUAAUCCUCUGCUGACAUGCUUCAAAACCAAGUCUUGGACCAGGUACUAGCAGCUAAUGAAGGCAUCGACUGAUCAUUUCUCUCUUGUGCUUUAAGUUUUCUUUUUAAAGAUCGUCUAACAGUUUCAUUGACAGGCAAUACACUGCAUCCGUUUGAAGUGCAUACCUUAACAAUGAACUGAUGAUUUAUGGAGCACCUAGUAUGUAUCAGGUACUUGCCCUACCACCUGUGGGAGCAGAGAGCUUCGACGUCAGACAACCUAGGUCAGAAUCUCGGCUGGAAUUCCAGUUACCAGCCACGUGACCUUGGGCCACUUGUGUCGUCAGGGAAGCCCAAGAAUACUGGAGUGGGUAGCCUAUCCCUUCUCCAGGGGAUCUUCCCAACCAAGGAAUCAAACCGGGGUCUCCUGCAUUGCAGGCAGAUUCUUUACCAGCUGAGCUACCAGAGAAGCCCCGUUGAGCCUCAUGGUUGUGUGUUAAAUUCCCGGGAUGUGCCAGGCAGGUCCACAGAUAGUCUUCUCCUCACCCACAAAGAUGCUGAUAGAGGCUCAGUGUGGCAUGAACUGCUGGGUCCACAGCAAGGAGGAGAAGAGCCAGGAUCGGAGCCCGGGUCUCCUGGGC
ensembl:lncRNA